UUGCGCUAUCAGAUGAGCCUAGGUCGGAUUAGCUAGUUGGUGAGGUAAUGGCUCACCAAGGCGACGAUCCGUAACUGGUCUGAGAGGAUGAUCAGUCACACUGGAACUGAGACACGGUCCAGACUCCUACGGGAGGCAGCAGUGGGGAAUAUUGGACAAUGGGCGAAAGCCUGAUCCAGCCAUGCCGCGUGUGUGAAGAAGGUCUUCGGAUUGUAAAGCACUUUAAGUUGGGAGGAAGGGCAUUAACCUAAUACGUUAGUGUUUUGACGUUACCGACAGAAUAAGCACCGGCUAACUCUGUGCCAGCAGCCGCGGUAAUACAGAGGGUGCAAGCGUUAAUCGGAAUUACUGGGCGUAAAGCGCGCGUAGGUGGUUCGUUAAGUUGGAUGUGAAAUCCCCGGGCUCAACCUGGGAACUGCAUUCAAAACUGUCGAGCUAGAGUAUGGUAGAGGGUGGUGGAAUUUCCUGUGUAGCGGUGAAAUGCGUAGAUAUAGGAAGGAACACCAGUGGCGAAGGCGACCACCUGGACUGAUACUGACACUGAGGUGCGAAAGCGUGGGGAGCAAACAGGAUUAGAUACCCU
rnacentral:rRNA from 1 species